AAUCCAGGAAGAAUGGUGUCAGUUGAUGAUCAGCCUAAGAGUUAUAUGAUAUUUUUAUGAUAAGGUGGAGGAAAGUUAGUUGUAUUUGGAAUGUUGAGACGACCAAGAAGAUAGAUGAAGUCUGCAUGCUACCAUAGAAGAUUUUAAUAUUUAUGUUAACUAAUUAGUUGUAACUUAGAGAUAUCAAUGUUACAAUAUUAGUGGCUAUACAUUUCUGACUUUUAUGCUAUAUAUACAUACAUUUUUUAUGAUA